GUCAUCUUAGUUGAAUCGGUUAAGGUAGUGGGCUCAAGACCCGGUGGUCGCAGGUUCGAAUCCGGUGUUGACA